rnacentral:rRNA from 1 species
CCUACGGGUGGCAGCAGUGAGGAAUAUUGGUCAAUGGACGAGAGUCUGAACCAGCCAAGUAGCGUGAAGGAUGACUGCCCUAUGGGUUGUAAACUUCUUUUAUAUGGGAAUAAAACGUUCCACGUGUGGGUUUUUGUAUGUACCUUAUGAAUAAGGAUCGGCUAACUCCGUGCCAGCAGCCGCGGUAAUACGGAGGAUCCGAGCGUUAUCCGGAUUUAUUGGGUUUAAAGGGAGCGUAGAUGGGUUGUUAAGUCAGUUGUGAAAGUUUGCGGCUCAACCGUAAAAUUGCAAUUGAUACUGGCAGUCUUGAGUACAGUAGAGGUAGGCGGAAUUCGUGGUGUAGCGGUGAAAUGCUUAGAUAUCACGAAGAACCCCGAUUGCGAAGGCAGUUUACUAGACUGUAACUGACACUGAGGCUCGAAAGUGUGGGUAUCAAACAGGAUUAGAUACCCCUGUAGUC